AACCUUAACCUCCGCGACUCCAGGCACGUUACGCUGGGGCCACACAGCGCGCUUCAGGCUCGCCUGACGGCAGCGUCACGUCGUGGCCGCGUCAUGCCCACCUAGGGUGUUCACACUAGACGCGAGUUAACCACGUCUCGGGAGCGUCUCGGAGCUACCUGUCAGCUGUGUUUUU